rnacentral:rRNA from 1 species
AACGAACGCUGGCGGCAGGCUUAACACAUGCAAGUCGAACGGGAUCUUCGGAUCUAGUGGCAGACGGGUGAGGAACACGUGGGAACAUCCCUUUCAGUUCGGAAUAACGUUGGGAAACUAACGCUAAUACCGGAUACGUCCUUCGGGAGAAAGAUUUAUCGCUGAAAGAUUGGCCCGCGUCUGAUUAGCUAGUUGGUGAGGUAAUGGCUCACCAAGGCUACGAUCAGUAGCUGAUCUGAGAGGAUGAUCAGCCACAUUGGGACUGAGACACGGCCCAAACUCCUACGGGAGGCAGCAGUGGGGAAUAUUGGACAAUGGGCGCAAGCCUGAUCCAGCCAUGUCGCGUGAGUGAUGACGGCCUUCGGGUUGUAAAGCUCUUUUGUCCGGGAAGAUAAUGACUGUACCGGAAGAAUAAGCCCCGGCAAACUUCGUGCCAGCAGCCGCCGUAA